CCCUUAGAUGUUCUGGGCCGCACGCGCGCUACACUGAUGCAUUCAACGAGCCUAUCCUUGACCGACAGGUCCGGGUAAUCUUUGAAUCUGCAUCGUGACGGGGAUAGAUUAUUGCAAUUAUUAAUCUUCAACGAGGAAUGCCUAGUAGGCGCAAGUCAUCAGCUUGCGUCGAUUACGUCCCUGCCCAUUGUACACACCGCCCGUCGCUCCUACCGAUUGGGUGUGCUGGUGAAAUGUUCGGAUCGGCCGUUUGUCGCGGUUUCCGCGUCAUGUGGCUGAGAAGUUCAUUAAACCCUCCCACCUAGAGGAAGGAGAAGUCGUAACA
rnacentral:rRNA from 1 species